rfam:Cryptococcus depauperatus CBS 7841 supercont1.10, whole genome shotgun sequence.
GCCUUCGUAGCUGAGUUGGUUACAGCGUCCGACUUUUAGAGCCAAGGUUCAAAAUCGGGCGAUCACGGGUUCGAGCCCCGUCGAAGGCU